AGCUGAUCACUGGGUUUAAAGGGUGCGCAGGCGGUUUUGUAAGACAGAGGUGAAAUCCCCGGGCUCAACCUGGGAACUGCCUUUGUGACUGCAAGGCUGGAGUGCGGCAGAGGGGGAUGGAAUUCCGCGUGUAGCAGUGAAAUGCGUAGAUAUGCGGAGGAACACCGAUGGCGAAGGCAAUCCCCUGGGCCUGCACUGACGCUCAUGCACGAAAGCGUGGGGAGCAAACA
rnacentral:rRNA from 1 species